CAGCAGCCGCGGGAAUACAGAGGGUGCAAGCGUUAUCCGGAAUUAUUGGGCGUAAAGAGCUCGUAGGCGGUUUGUCGCGUCUGCUGUGAAAACUGGAGGCUCAACCUCCAGCCUGCAGUGGGUACGGGCAGACUAGAGUGCGGUAGGGGAGAUUGGAAUUCCUGGUGUAGCGGUGGAAUGCGCAGAUAUCAGGAGGAACACCGAUGGCGAAGGCAGAUCUCUGGGCCGUAACUGACGCUGAGGAGCGAAAGCAUGGGGAGCGAACAGGAUUAGAUACCCGCGUAGUCCCUGUCUCUUAUAC
rnacentral:rRNA from 1 species